CAGUGAUAAACUGGAGGAAGGUGGGGAUGACGUCAAGUCAUCAUGGCCCUUACGACCAGGGCUACACACGUGCUACAAUGGCGCAUACAAAGAGAAGCGACCUCGCGAGAGCAAGCGGACCUCAUAAAGUGCGUCGUAGUCCGGAUUGGAGUCUGCAACUCGACUCCAUGAAGUCGGAAUCGCUAGUAAUCGUGGAUCAGAAUGCCACGGUGAAUACGUUCCCGGGCCUUGUACACACCGCCCGUCACACCAUGGGAGUGGGUUGCAAAAGAAGUAGGUAGCUUAACCUUCGGGAGGGCGCUUACCACUUUGUGAUUCAUGACUGGGGUGAAGUCGUAACAAGGUAACCGUAGGGGAACCUGCGGUUGGA
rnacentral:rRNA from 194 species